UACAGAGGGGGCAAGCGUUAUUCGGAAUUAUUGGGCGUAAAGGGCGCGUAGGCGGCUUGGCAAGUGGAAGGUGAAAUCCCUCGGCUUAACCGAGGAACUGCCCUCCAAACUGCUUCGCUUGAGACCGGGAGAGGUGAGUGGAAUUCCCAGUGUAGCGGUGAAAUGCGUAGAUAUUGGGAGGAACACUAGUGGCGAAGGCGGCUCACUGGACCGGUACUGACGCUGAUGCGCGAAAGCGUGGGGAGCAAACGGG
rnacentral:rRNA from 1 species